ACGAUGGGGAUGCGUUCCAUUAGAUAGUAGGCGGGGUAACGGCCCACCUAGUCUUCGAUGGAUAGGGGUUCUGAGAGGAAGGUCCCCCACAUUGGAACUGAGACACGGUCCAAACUCCUACGGGAGGCAGCAGUGAGGAAUAUUGGUCAAUGGGCGCAGGCCUGAACCAGCCAAGUAGCGUGAAGGAUGACUGCCCUAUGGGUUGUAAACUUCUUUUAUAAAGGAAUAAAGUCGGGUAUGGAUACCCGUUUGCAUGUACUUUAUGAAUAAGGAUCGGCUAACUCCGUGCCAGCAGCCGCGGUAAUACGGAGGAUCCGAGCGUUAUCCGGAUUUAUUGGGUUUAAAGGGAGCGUAGAUGGAUGUUUAAGUCAGUUGUGAAAGUUUGCGGCUCAACCGUAAAAUUGCAGUUGAUACUGGAUAUCUUGAGUGCAGUUGAGGCAGGCGGAAUUCGUGGUGUAGCGGUGAAAUGCUUAGAUAUCACGAAGAACUCCGAUUGCGAAGGCAGCCUGCUAAGCUGCAACUGACAUUGAGGCUCGAAAGUGUGGGUAUCAAACAGGAUUAGAUACCCUGGUAGUCCACACGGUAAACGAUGAAUACUCGCUGUUUGCGAUAUACGGCAA
rnacentral:rRNA from 1 species